AAUGAACGCUGGCGGCAUGCCUAACACAUGCAAGUCGAACGAGACCUCCGGGUCUUUUGGCUCUUGGGUGUGUCACGCGUCGGAACCUGCCCUUAUGUUUGGAAUAACUCUCCGACAGGGGUGCUAAUACCGGAUAAUGUCUUCUACCCAAAGAUUUUUCGCCUUUGGUUGGGCCGGCGUUGGAUUCGCUGUUUGGUUGGGUAAAAGCCUACCAAGGCGACGAUCCAUAGCUGGUUAGAGAGAAUGCUCAGCGACACUGGGGCUAGGACACGGCAGAGACUCCUACGGGAGGGAGGAGAGGGGGAUAGAGGAAAAUGGGGUAAAGGAUGAAGGAGCAAUGCCGGGAAAGUGAUGAAGGUGUGAGAGUAGAAAAGCACUUUUACCCGGGAAGAUAAUGACGGUACCGAAAGAAUAAGCACCGGCUAACUCCGUG
rnacentral:rRNA from 1 species